rnacentral:rRNA from 1 species
GAUGAACGCUGGCGGCGUGCCUAAUACAUGCAAGUCGAGCGAACAGACGAGGAGCUUGCUCCUCUGACGUUAGCGGCGGACGGGUGAGUAACACGUGGAUAACCUACCUAUAAGACUGGGAUAACUUCGGGAAACCGGAGCUAAUACCGGAUAAUCUAUUGAACCGCAUGGUUCAAUAGUUAAAGACGGUUUUGCUGUCACUUCUAGAUGGAUCCGCGCCGCAUUAGCUAGUUGGUAAGGUAACGGCUUACCAAGGCAACGAUGCGUAGCCGACCUGAGAGGGUGAUCGGCCACACUGGAACUGAGACACGGUCCAGACUCCUACGGGAGGCAGCAGUAGGGAAUCUUCCGCAAUGGGCGAAAGCCUGACGGAGCAACGCCGCGUGAGUGAUGAAGGUCUUCGGAUCGUAAAACUCUGUUAUUAGGGAAGAACAAAUGUGUAAGUAACUAUGCACGUCUUGACGGUACCUAAUCAGAAAGCCACGGCUAACUACGUG